GUUCUUCCAAACGGAAGGAAACGUGAACAUCCCUUUCCGAGUCACGAUCGUUUCCGGAAAGAUAACGGAGUAGUUCCUCUUCGGUGAACCCUUGGAAACGAUAUCUCUGCUGCAAAAGUGUGUCAUAUCUGCGCAGGCGUUCGUCCUGGUCGGGUGAUAAAUGCUCCCCCCAAAGAGCCCUGAUCUCCCCGGCCAAGUCAAAUGACGGACGAAGUUCAGAUGUAAAAGGCCCAUCGCGCCUAACAUUACGAAAAAACGGUUGCUCUCCCACCGAGGCCUCGUCCCACACGGGUAUGAAACCCACGGGUUCCCACGGGUUCCUGCGAGAUCCUGAUGGUUUGGGGGUUGCAGCUUUCUUCUGUUGUUUACUUAAAAUGCUCCUAGGCUCGGUCACUUCCCCCACCAGAUCAGAGACUGAGCGGUUGAAAGAAACUGAGGGCGAUGCCUCCUCUAGGUCUUCUAUCACUAGGUCUUCUAGCUGGCCGGUGACUACCGGCCGUGACGUCACUCUGGUCUCCUUACGAAACUUCUUCAACCAAGAACAAAACUGAAAAUAAUAUUAUUCUAUAAAAACCUGUCCAUUAAAAGCAAGUGGCAUUUUAAAUUUAAUUUACACGCUAUAAUUAGCAGAUUAUUUUGACUUCUUUCUAUUUAC
rnacentral:lncRNA from 1 species